CAACAAUGGGCCUCUGGAGUUUGUCCCUCUCACCUUAAUCACUGCGGAAUUUGAUCUCAGGGCCUUUCAUUCCAUUACUACCCCCCAUCUGGCCGCUGCCUGCAGGAGCCAGGCCGGCCCUGCGUCUCCCAUGGGACUAGAGGCCUGGGGGACGGUCACUGCGAGGCUGCUAUUCACAGACCAAAGAGGACUGCAGACUCAAAAUCCAUUAGCAUCUGGAUGGCAACAUAACCAUGCACAUUGGAGACUGAUGCAGUAAGAUGUGAUGGGGCCAGUGUGGGGCUGGAGAGUCUGCACCUCAGUUGAAAUAAUUCAGGAGGUGGAAGAUGACAGCCCAUCAGCCAGCCUGGAUCCUUGAGUGACUAUGUGGAGUAGAGCCCCUGCCAACAGAGCAUAUUGUCGCCCUUCCCCCUACGCCCCCGGGUUGGCUCGAGAGCCACGGACUCCAAUCCCUCGGGCCUCCGCUGAACCUCCCCAGGGCCUCCCGGAGCUGGCUGCCCUGGCGCGGGGGCGGG
ensembl:lncRNA